AAUUAGAGACCAGGGGCCUUCUUUGUCACCCUGACACCUUCAGCCAAACCAUAGACCCUCAUAUUUAUCUGACGUUAACAUGGCACCAGAGGUUUGCCUCUAGCUGCAGGUAUUUUCUUGUUCGUCUGUUACAAGAUAGAGCGAAAAAGGAGCUCCUGACCUGUGUGGAAUCAUUCAGUAUUUUGCAGGCUCCUAUCUGCAUGGCUGCAAGGACUAACAAAUGCCUAUUUAAAAAUAUUUAUUUUUCAUUGUCGUAAAGGUAAAAAUCACCCACACAUUGCAGAUAUUACACACAACAGUGAUUCUGGUAAAAGAUAGGUAUGAACUGGAAGCAGCUCGGUGAGUUUCUUGCUCAGUGUUAGUUUAUUUGAAUACUGCCAACAAGAAUAUUAUCAGUUUCAUUUCUCUGAAUGAGGCCUAUUUAGCUUGUAUAUCAUUUUUAGAGGUGUAGGAAAGAGUUGCCCUUAUAAUUGGUUCAUGUCCAGCCAUGCAUUUCACACCUUGUCAGAUGGCUUGUUCUGCAAGUAAUUCUUCAAAGGACACACCCUCAGCUAUUCCAUUUGCCUGGGCCUCUGAAGUAUGACACCCUUAGAAGAAAUAUGAGAUGGCUUCAAAAAUAUUAGGGGAACCCUACCUCAAAAAGAUGAUAAGUCAUGUUCUGCAAAGAUAAUAUAUCCCUUCAUACUGGCACAGAUUGAUCUUUGUAAAGCUAGCUAUUUUCCUUCCAAGUUUAGGUUUAAAAUUUCUCUCAGCUUUGUUGAGAAGCGUUUACUCAUCUGUCUCUCACACAUACACAAAAAAUGUCAUACAUUUGAUGCCUACCAAUGCCAACAACUUUCAGAAGCAGUCAUCUUGUGGGUGCAAUGAAAUAUCAACUAGACAUCUCAAGCUAUUCUCCAAAUAUAAAUAUGUGUCUGUAAAUCGUUCCUAGAGGCAGAUGGGGCACAAAUCAAAAUUCAUACAGAUCUUAUUAAAAGAAAA